GAUGAACGCUGGCGGCGUGCCUAAUACAUGCAAGUCGAGCGAACAGACGAGGAGCUUGCUCCUCUGACGUUAGCGGCGGACGGGUGAGUAACACGUGGAUAACCUACCUAUAAGACUGGGAUAACUUCGGGAAACCGGAGCUAAUACCGGAUAAUAUAUUGAACCGCAUGGUUCAAUAGUGAAAGACGGUUUUGCUGUCACUUAUAGAUGGAUCCGCGCCGCAUUAGCUAGUUGGUAAGGUAACGGCUUACCAAGGCAACGAUGCGUAGCCGACCUGAGAGGGUGAGCGGCCACACUGGAACUGCAACACGGUCCAGACUCCUACGGGAGGCAGCAGUAGGGAAUCUUCCGCAAUGGGCGAAAGCCUGACGGAGCAACGCCGCGUGAGUGAUGAAGGUCUUCGGAUCGUAAAACUCUGUUAUUAGGGAAGAACAAAUGUGUAAGUAACUAUGCACGUCUUGACGGUACCUGAUCAGAAAGCCACGGCUAACUACGUG
rnacentral:rRNA from 1 species